rnacentral:lncRNA from 1 species
GAUAUUUAUGGUGAGAAAAUUAACGAGAAUGUUGAAUCGAGUGGAAAAAGUAAUACGACCUAUGCUUCAUACGACAAAGACACGGAAACAUACGAUGUGAUCGAGUUGAAGAGAUUGUAGAAGCACUGGAAGAACCAGGGACAGCUUAUAGAACCUAAUGGGCAUACCUUAACUAGUUUUAUCGGUGCACUAGAUGUCUAUUGGAACAACCAGG